GAGCUUAAGUUGAAUUACUUGAAACUAAAUAUAUAUAUACUCUAUACUCUGUACCGCUGAAUAUUAUUGCCAACUUUGCAAGCCAAUUGUGUCAGUUCAAUGAACUGAAUCCACUGGUUGUCUGUAAUAAUCAACUAAUUCCACUAUCUGGCAGACUUAAAAACUUUCACGAGCAUCAGUAACAAGUUCCACACCAUCAGCUGCAUUUCAGACUUUAAGCUCUGGGAAAAGCCACACUAAAUGGCCGAAGGAAAAUGAAGCCCACAAAUCGUGCUGCUAGUUGACAUGGAAAACGUCUGGGUUGUGCGCCGAAAAUAUUGUUGUCAGAAAAGUUAAUGAUUUAUAAUGCUGGUCUCGGGCAUUCGUCGCCAUCGCCAGUUCCGUCGGGUUGCGUUCAGUUCAGUUCGGAUCGUAUCCUUGGGGCUCAGUCAUGCAAGGAGAAGCCCUCGAGCCAAACCAGCGAAGCGAGCAAGUUGUACAAAAAUUUUUCACACUUUCCAGCUGAAAAAGACGAGUAAAAAGUUUCGAGCAUGCGGGGUCGGUCGGUGGAGAGGAUGUGCUCCCCUUCACCUUGGGGACCUCUUUAAAGAUUUACGAUGCCGCAUAUGCCUACAGGUCAUAGCUUGGCCAAUGGAUGUGGGUGUGGAUGUCGAUUUGGAUGUGGCUGUGGAUGUGGCUGUGGUGUGUGCACAACAAAAGCACGGCAGACGCUUCAAAUUGUUGCAUUUUGCCCAGAAUGCUGGCAAACUGGCAGUGACAGGGCAGCACACGCAGGAGGAUCCUUCCCAGACGAUGUCCUGGCGUCUGUCCUGGCGCAGCGGCGAUGUCACCGCAGACUUUGACAUACAUUUAUUUUUAUUAUUUACGAUGACUUAGCCCUGCCCCCCACUCGCACUAGACUCGGUUGGGGGCCUAGGCUGGGGCCUAUCUGGGGCUCCUCAUCUUUAAUUCUUUAAAUAGACCGUCAGGGUCGAGUGGGAAUGGAUGCGAACGAGGCUGAAGCUGAAGCUCCCACUAAGGAUUGCACGGUGAAAAAAUAGUUUAUGAUGUGUUGGACGAUUAUUUCGAAUAUAAUGUAGGGUCAU
ensembl:ncRNA lncRNA:CR45761 long non-coding RNA:CR45761